rnacentral:rRNA from 1 species
GACGAACGCUGGCGGCGUGCCUAACACAUGCAAGUCGAACGGGGUCAGCCCUUCGGGACUGACUUAGUGGCGAACGGGUGAGUAACGCGUGAGGAACCUGCCUCUCAGUGGGGGACAACAGUUGGAAACGACUGCUAAUACCGCAUAAUGUAUUCCUUGGGCAUCCUUGGGAUACCAAAGAUUUAUUGCUGAGAGAUGGCCUCGCGUCUGAUUAGAUAGUUGGUGGGGUAACGGCCCACCAAGUCGACGAUCAGUAGCCGGUCUGAGAGGAUGAACGGCCACAUUGGGACUGAGAUACGGCCCAG